rnacentral:rRNA from 1 species
AUUGAACGCUGGCGGCAUGCUUUACACAUGCAAGUCGAACGGCAGCACGGGGGCAACCCUGGUGGCGAGUGGCGAACGGGUGAGUAAUACAUCGGAACGUGUCCAGUUGUGGGGGAUAACCAGUCGAAAGACUGGCUAAUACCGCAUGAUCUGGUGACAGCAAAGCGGGGGACUCGAAAGGGCCUCGUGCGAUUGGAGCGGCCGAUGUCCGAUUAGCUAGUUGGUGGGGUAAAGGCCUACCAAGGCGACGAUCGGUAGCUGGUCUGAGAGGAUGAUCAGCCACACUGGGACUGAGACACGGCCCAGACUCCUACGGGAGGCAGCAGUGGGGAAUUUUGGACAAUGGGGGCAACCCUGAUCAAGCCAUGCCGCGUGAGUGAAGAAGGCCUUCGGGUUGUAAAGCUCUUUCGGUGGGAACGAAACGGGCCGUGCUAACACCACGGCCUACUGACGGUACUCACAGAAGAAGCACCGGCUAACUACGUGCCAGCCGCCGCAGUAACAC